rnacentral:lncRNA from 1 species
CCAGCGCCGGCCUGUUUCUACUGUGCCCUUUUGUUUGCUUGACCCCUGGCCCCCGAAACUCGCGGCUAAUAGAAGCGAAGCUCCAUUAGCAUUUAGAAUGAAAAGCGCAGACUUUCUUAAUUCCUCGGGGCAUUCACACAUUCGUUCCGGACCUGGUGCAUUUCCUAUGCAACGUGUAAAUUCUGUAUUUGGGGAGGAGGGGGGACGGGCAGUGGAGUUGGAAAAUGCGCCCUCACUGACCACUCGAAUUCCGUCGAAACUCUUCCUCAGGUGCUCCUUCUUUGGUUUUCCUGACUUAGCGAGCUCAGAGCCAAUUGUGGGGACAGAGAGAUCAAUUGCUGGGCGAUGACAGGAUGCACGUAUUUUUAGCCUAGGUUUGGGUGCCACAAAACGGUGGUGAGCGCAGUGGGUGCCUGACAACCUUUCUGUGGCUCCCCCCAAGGCGGCUGGUCGCUUCUUGCCCAGGGACUCCGUUCACCUUAAGAGGUGCUUCCUUACCCUUUUAAUGCUUUGUAAUCAACGUAGCAUUCAUAGAGACCCCCUACCAAACCACCCUCUCCUGAUAACGCCCAGCCCAGGCCAGGACGACCACCAGCCUGGUCUCACUUUGAGCUCUGUCCUCUCUCCCGGUGCCCGCAGAGCCUACUGCGGAAGAGCGCAGUCCGGCAAGCCCUAGCCCUGAGCCUGGACCCUCCGCGGAGCCAGGCAGCACUGCCACCGCUUCCCCUCGCCGGACGUCUCCGCCUCCUACCCUCUCAGCCUCCGCUGGAGAGACCCACAGCCCCACCAUUCAGCGCGCAAGAUAUCCUCCAGGCCCUCAUCACCUUUUUUCAAGUCAAGAUUUCAUCCCAUACACGCAUGACUCAAUCAGAUUUGGAAAUGUGGGUAAGAGAAAGAUGUCAAAGGAAAUGUGAAGUACACACUUUUUUUUUUUUUAUUAGUCACAUCUUCUAUACCAUAGACUCCAAACAGAGGUUAAGCACCUGCUGUUCCUUUGGUUCAGAAAAACCAACCACUAGCAACUGCCCAUUUUAUCAUUUCUAGUUAGCCAUAGAGAAAGGGAAAUAAUUAGAUAAAAUCAGAUCCAGUGAUUCUCAAAGCCUUCUCAUCCAACUCAACCUCUCUGAACAAUAAUAAGCAUCCUGGAUACUAGUCCCUUUCGGGGGCUCAACAUACAGUCAACUGGAAGAAAAACUAAACCUAUUAAGGAACUGC